rnacentral:rRNA from 1 species
ACAGCAGCAGCCGCGGUAAUGCGAAGGGGGCUAGCGUUGCUCGGAAUCACUGGGCGUAAAGGGUGCGUAGGCGGGUCUUUAAGUCAGGGGUGAAAUCCUGGGGCUCAACUCCAGAACUGCCUUUGAUACUGAAGAUCUUGAGUUCGGGAGAGGUGAGUGGAACUGCGAGUGUAGAGGUGAAAUUCGUAGAUAUUCGCAAGAACACCAGUGGCGAAGGCGGCUCACUGGCCCGAUACUGACGCUGAGGCACGAAAGCGUGGGGAGCAAACAGGAUUAGAUACCCGGGUAGUCCCUGUCUCUUAUAC